rnacentral:rRNA from 1 species
CAAGUCGAGCGAACAGACGAGGAGCUUGCUCCUCUGACGUUAGCGGCGGACGGGUGAGUAACACGUGGAUAACCUACCUAUAAGACUGGGAUAACUUCGGGAAACCGGAGCUAAUACCGGAUAAUAUAUUGAACCGCAUGGUUCAAUAGUGAAAGACGGUUUUGCUGUCACUUAUAGAUGGAUCCGCGCCGCAUUAGCUAGUUGGUAAGGUAACGGCUUACCAAGGCAACGAUGCGUAGCCGACCUGAGAGGGUGAUCGGCCACACUGGAACUGAGACACGGUCCAGACUCCUACGGGAGGCAGCAGUAGGGAAUCUUCCGCAAUGGGCGAAAGCCUGACGGAGCAACGCCGCGUGAGUGAUGAAGGUCUUCGGAUCGUAAAACUCUGUUAUUAGGGAAGAACAAAUGUGUAAGUAACUAUGCACGUCUUGACGGUACCUAAUCAGAAAGCCACGGCUAACUACGUGCCAGCAGCCGCGGUAAUACGUAGGUGGCAAGCGUUAUCCGGAAUUAUUGGGCGUAAAGCGCGCGUAGGCGGUUUUUUAAGUCUGAUGUGAAAGCCCACGGCUCAACCGUGGAGGGUCAUUGGAAACUGGAAAACUUGAGUGCAGAAGAGGAAAGUGGAAUUCCAUGUGUAGCGGUGAAAUGCGCAGAGAUAUGGAGGAACACCAGUGGCGAAGGCGACUUUCUGGUCUGUAACUGACGCUGAUGUGCGAAAGCGUGGGGAUCAAACAGGAUUAG